AGUGAACGCUGGCGGUAGGCCUAACACAUGCAAGUCGAACGGCAGCACAGGAAAGCUUGCUCCCGGGGUGGCGAGUGGCGGACGGGUGAGGAAUACAUCGGAAUCUACUCAGUCGUGGGGGAUAACGGUGGGAAACGUACGCUAAUACCGCAUAAGACCUACGGGUGAAAGUAGGGGACAUUCGGGCCUGUCGCGAUUGAAUGAGCCGAUGUCGGAUUAGCUAGUUGGCGGGGUAAAGGGCCAACAAGGCGACGGUCCGUAGCUGGUCUGAGAGGAUGAUCAGCCACACUGGAACUGGGACACGUUCCAGACUCCUGCGGGAGGCAGCAGUGGGGAAUAUUGGACAAUGGGCGCAAGCCUGAUCCAGCCAUACCGCGUGAGUGAAGAAGGCCUUCGGGUUGUAAAGCCCUUUUGUUGGGAAAGAAAUCCAGCUGGCUAAUACCCGGUUGGGAUGACGGUACCCAAAGAAUAAGCACCGGCUAACUUCGUGCCAGCAGCCGCCGUAA
rnacentral:rRNA from 1 species